rnacentral:rRNA from 1 species
GACGAACGCUGGCGGCGUGCUUAACACAUGCAAGUCGAACGAAGUGGCGAACGGGUGAGUAACGCGUAAUCAACCUGCCCUUCAGAGGGGGACAACAGUUGGAAACGACUGCUAAUACCGCAUACUGAAGGAGGGGAUUGCGUCUGAUUAGCUAGUUGGAGGGGUAACGGCCCACAAAGGCGAUGAUCAGUAGCCGGUCUGAGAGGCUGAACGGACAAAUUGGGACUGAGACACGGCCCAGACUCAGACGGGAGGAAGCAGUGGGGAAUCUUCCGCAAUGGACGAAAGUCUGACGGAGCAACGCCGCGUGAGUGAUGACGGCCUUCGGGUUGUAAAGGUCUGUUAAUCGGGACGCGGUACCGGAAUAGAAAGCCACGGCUAACUACGUGCCAGCAGCCGCGGUAAUGC